GCUGGCUGUUCUCGCUGAUCUUCUGGGGGAGGGGCCUGUUGCAUUGAUUCUCAAAUGUCUCUGCCGGAGGCGGAAUUGCCCCGCCCUUGCCCCCUCCCGGCUAAGUAAUCUGCUCGGGUUUGCUCUCCGGGGCUUUUGUUCCCUGCGAGCUUUCCGUACAGCUUUGGAGGCGGAGAGUGAAAAUGGCGGCCUCCCAAUCUCCGCCCCGGAGGAGCCGAGAACUCGGGGCCCGCUCCUCAGUGAGCCCCCAGAGAAAAGCCGUCAGUCACUCUCGUCUCCCCGGUCUGCAGCUGCACUCCGUGCUCAACCGGCCUGUGACCGCACGUUUCUGUCUCUGGCACCCAACCCUGGGUGGAGUCUCCAAACCCAGCAGAUCCCUGCGGUGCACUCCUGCGCGGCUCCUCCCGGGGGAGGAAGUGAUUAUUGAGAUUCUUCAUUAUGAAAUCAACCUCUACACUCUAUUUUGAUGGCCUGGAAUGUGACCACUGUUUUGCUAUAACGUUAGGUUCUGCUACUUUCUUUCCACUUCCAUGGGGCACCUGAAGUUCAAGAGCUGAGCUGAGAUGGAGUCCACUGCUUAACCAACUAAGCCCCCCAGGUGUACAACCAUCUUUUAAGAAUCUUUGCCUAACUGGUCAAUCGGGCAUCUGGAAUAUCCUUCCAUGAUGCUAGAAUGAUAGAUAAAAUGAUACCUUCUAUGCCAUCCAGAAUGUUGAAUGAAAUGUGUUCUUGAAUCCAAAGAGGUAUACUCUAAUGGUGAGCUUCCUAACACUAUGUUUAAAAGUGGGAAGACAAAUGUUACAUAUCCUGUAAAAUCUUCCAAAUCUGUGCUACCGUUAUAAAGUUAUAGUCUCUUUCUCUCUAUAUGACAUUAAAUAUUCUCUGUCUAAUAAUACUAAAUGUAAGUAAAGAAACGUAACAUGCAGUUUACACCAUGCUAACCUCUAGAAGUUUGGAGACUAAUUAUAGAAGAUGCUGUCAUCAUUAGAUACCAAGUCUUUAGCUAUAAACACAGUCAUAUCCCAAACUUGCCUCCCAGGUAAAAGAAAGGCUCCCAUGCACUUUACCUAGUGAAUGCAAUAUGCUCAAAUAUUUUUUACCAUUUUACAUUUGUCAACAUUUUGAAAAUUCAUUAUGCAGCACUAAUUUGACUUAACUAGUUUGAAAAAUAUUCUUUUCAUUUUUCUGUCACAUCUCUCAGUACAUGAAUAAAACAUUCAGAAUAUCUCCUUAAAUUUAAACAGAAGGGAAAUUACAUUUAAAUAGAAGGAAACUAUUCAAUAAAAUUAGUAAGACUACACAUCUAUUCAAUUAUUUGUAUGUUCCUACAUUACAUCUUUAUAUUAAAAUUUUGACUGUAAGAUGAAGGACAAAAAUAAUAGAUCAUUACUUCCUGAGUAAUAUUUAUCUUCAGGUGUUUAAUGUAGAAAUCCUGGGAAUAUUAAGUCUGAUUGAUAUACAUGCUUCUAUUUAUACUAAAAGAUAAUGCUACUUUUAUUUUUGGAUGUAUUCUAAAAAUGUAUGAUAUCAAUGACCAAAAUGAUAUAGCUAUUAUAAGCACUGUCUUAAAUUCCAGACUUACAUGGUUGGUGUGCAAUUGAUUCCAGUUAAGUGGUCUUUGCUGAUAAUUGACUGUAAUGGAAUUUCAUAGAAGAGGCAGAGGUCUAACAAUGGAUUUCCCUAAAUAUGGAUGGAAUAAAAUCAUUGCUUAUUUAAAGGAGUUGACAUGAAAAAUGCAUACCAUAAAUGUAUGAUAGUGUGACUUUCCCUAGGAAUGGGUAUGC